rnacentral:rRNA from 1 species
UACGUAGGGUGCGAGCGUUGUCCGGAAUUAUUGGGCGUAAAGGGCUCGUAGGCGGUCUGUCGCGUCGGGAGUGAAAACUCAGGGCUUAACCCUGAGCCUGCUUCCGAUACGGGCAGACUAGAGGUAUGCAGGGGAGAACGGAAUUCCUGGUGUAGCGGUGAAAUGCGCAGAUAUCAGGAGGAACACCGAUGGCGAAGGCAGUGUUCUGGGCCAGUACUGACGCUGAGGAGCGAAAGCGUGGGGAGCAAACAGG